rnacentral:rRNA from 1 species
UACAGAGGGUGCAAGCGUUAAUCGGAAUUACUGGGCGUAAAGCGUGCGUAGUCGGUUAUCUAAGUCGGGUGUGAAAUCCCCGGGCUCAACCUGGGAAUUGCAUUCGAUACUGGAUAGCUAGAGUUCGGCAGAGGGAAGCGGAAUUUCUGGUGUAGCGGUGAAAUGCGUAGAGAUCCGGAGGAACACCAGUGGCGAAGGCGACACGCUGGGCCGUACCUGACACUGAUACGCGACAGCAUGGGGAGCGAACGGG